rnacentral:rRNA from 1 species
UACAGAGGUCUCAAGCGUUGUUCGGAUUCAUUGGGCGUAAAGGUGCGUAGGCGGCGCGGUAAGUCGGGUGUGAAAUCUCGGAGCUUAACUCCGAACUGCAUUCGAUACUGCCGUGCUUGAGGACUGGAGAGGAGACUGGAAUUUACGGUGUAGCGGUGAAAUGCGUAGAUAUCGUAAAGAAGACCAGUGGCGAAGGCGGGUCUCUGGACCGUUCCUGACGCUGAGGCACGAAGGCCAGGGGAGCAAACGGG